rnacentral:rRNA from 1 species
UACAUGGGGUGCAACCGUUGCUCGGAAUUAUUGGGCGUAAAGCGCGCGUAGGCGGUUACUCAAGUCGGAUGUGAAAGCCCUCGGCUUAACCGAGGAAGUGCACCCGAAACUGAGUAGCUAGAGUACUAAAGAGGGUCGCGGAAUUCCCGGUGUAGAGGUGAAAUUCGUAGAUAUCAGGAAGAACACCGGUGGCGAAGGCGGAUCUCUGGGCCAGUACUGACACUGAGGAGCGAAAGCGUGGGUAGCAAACAGG